rnacentral:tRNA from 1 species
ACGGGCAUAGCUCAACUGGUAGAGUGGCGGUCUCCAAAACCGUAGGUUGCGGGUUCGAUUCCUGCUGCCCGUG